AGUGAACGCUGGCGGCGUGCCUAAUACAUGCAAGUCGAACGGAGUGGCGCACGGGUGAGUAAUGUAUAGCUAAUCUGCCCUACACUAGAGGACCACAGUUGGAAACGGCUGCUAAUACUCUAUAGUGUAGGAUGAGGCUAUAUUGUAUCAUCUAGUUGGUGAGGUAAUGGCUCACCAAGGCUAUGACGCAUAACUGGUCUGAGAGGAUGAUCAGUCAAACGGGAACUGAGACACGGUCCAGAAUCCUACGGGAGGGAGCAGUAGGGAAUAUGGCUAAAGGGGCGAAACCCUGAAGCAGCAACGCAGCGUGGAGGAUGACACUUUGCGGAGCGUAAACUCCUUUUGUUAGGGAAGCGGUACCUAACGAAUAAGCACCGGCUAACUCCGUGCCAGCAGCCGCGGUAAUUC
rnacentral:rRNA from 1 species